GGGCGAUUAGCUCAGUGGGAGAGCGCUUCCUUCACACGGAAGAGGUCGCAGGUUCAAUCCCUGCAUCGCCUACCA
rnacentral:tRNA from 2 species